rnacentral:rRNA from 1 species
ACUAAGCGUACACGGUGGAUGCCCUGGCAGUCAGAGGCGAUGAAGGACGUGCUAAUCUGCGAUAAGCGCCGGUAAGGUGAUAUGAACCGUUAUAACCGGCGAUACCCGAAUGGGGAAACCCAGUGUGACUCGUCACACUAUCAUUAACUGAAUCCAUAGGUUAAUGAGGCGAACCGGGGGAACUGAAACAUCUAAGUACCCCGAGGAAAAGAAAUCAACCGAGAUUCCCCCAGUAGCGGCGAGCGAACGGGGAGGAGCCCAGAGCCUGAAUCAGCAUGUGUGUUAGUGGAAGCGUCUGGAAAGGCGCGCGAUACAGGGUGACAGCCCCGUACACAAAAGCGCAUGUGCUGUGAGCUCGAUGAGUAGGGCGGGACACGUGGUAUCCUGUCUGAAUAUGGGGGGACCAUCCUCCAAGGCUAAAUACUCCUGACUGACCGAUAGUGAACCAGUACCGUGAGGGAAAGGCGAAAAGAACCCCGGCGAGGGGAGUGAAAAAGAACCUGAAACCGUGUACGUACAAGCAGUGGGAGCACCCUUUUGGGUGUGACUGCGUACCUUUUGUAUAAUGGGUCAGCGACUUAUAUUCUGUAGCAAGGUUAACCGCAUAGGGGAGCCGGAGGGAAACCGAGUCUUAAUUGGGCGUUAAGUUGCAGGGUAUAGACCCGAAACCCGGUGAUCUAGCCAUGGGCAGGUUGAAGGUUGGGUAACACUAACUGGAGGACCGAACCGACUAAUGUUGAAAAAUUAGCGGAUGACCUGUGGCUGGGGGUGAAAGGCCAAUCAAACCGGGAGAUAGCUGGUUCUCCCCGAAAGCUAUUUAGGUAGCGCCUCGUGAAUUCAUCUCCGGGGGUAGAGCACUGUUUCGGCUAGGGGGCCAUCCCGGCUUACCAACCCGAUGCAAACUGCGAAUACCGGAGAAUGUUAUCACGGGAGACACACGGCGGGUGCUAACGUCCGUCGUGAAGAGGGAAACAACCCAGACCGCCAGCUAAGGUCCCAAAGUCAUGGUUAAGUGGGAAACGAUGUGGGAAGGCCCAGACAGCCAGGAUGUUGGCUUAGAAGCAGCCAUCAUUUAAAGAAAGCGUAAUAGCUCACUGGUCGAGUCGGCCUGCGCGGAAGAUGUAACGGGGCUAAACCAUGCACCGAAGCUGCGGCAGCGACGCUUAUGCGUUGUUGGGUAGGGGAGCGUUCUGUAAGCCUGCGAAGGUGGCCUGUGAGGGUUGCUGGAGGUAUCAGAAGUGCGAAUGCUGACAUAAGUAACGAUAAAGCGGGUGAAAAGCCCGCUCGCCGGAAGACCAAGGGUUCCUGUCCAACGUUAAUCGGGGCAGGGUGAGUCGACCCCUAAGGCGAGGCCGAAAGGCGUAGUCGAUGGGAAACGGGUUAAUAUUCCCGUACUUGGUGUUACUGCGAAGGGGGGACGGAGAAGGCUAUGUUGGCCGGGCGACGGUUGUCCCGGUUUAAGCGUGUAGGUGUGUGUUCCAGGUAAAUCCGGUUCACUUUAACACUGAGGCGUGACGACGAGGCACUACGGUGCUGAAGCAACAAAUGCCCUGCUUCCAGGAAAAGCCUCUAAGCAUCAGGUAACAUCAAAUCGUACCCCAAACCGACACAGGUGGUCAGGUAGAGAAUACCAAGGCGCUUGAGAGAACUCGGGUGAAGGAACUAGGCAAAAUGGUGCCGUAACUUCGGGAGAAGGCACGCUGACACGUAGGUGAAGUGAUUUACUCACGGAGCUGAAGUCAGUCGAAGAUACCAGCUGGCUGCAACUGUUUAUUAAAAACACAGCACUGUGCAAACACGAAAGUGGACGUAUACGGUGUGACGCCUGCCCGGUGCCGGAAGGUUAAUUGAUGGGGUCAGCGCAAGCGAAGCUCCUGAUCGAAGCCCCGGUAAACGGCGGCCGUAACUAUAACGGUCCUAAGGUAGCGAAAUUCCUUGUCGGGUAAGUUCCGACCUGCACGAAUGGCGUAAUGAUGGCCAGGCUGUCUCCACCCGAGACUCAGUGAAAUUGAACUCGCUGUGAAGAUGCAGUGUACCCGCGGCAAGACGGAAAGACCCCGUGAACCUUUACUAUAGCUUGACACUGAACAUUGAGCCUUGAUGUGUAGGAUAGGUGGGAGGCUUUGAAGUGUGGACGCCAGUCUGCAUGGAGCCGACCUUGAAAUACCACCCUUUAAUGUUUGAUGUUCUAACGUGGACCCGUGAUCCGGGUUGCGGACAGUGUCUGGUGGGUAGUUUGACUGGGGCGGUCUCCUCCUAAAGAGUAACGGAGGAGCACGAAGGUUGGCUAAUCCUGGUCGGACAUCAGGAGGUUAGUGCAAUGGCAUAAGCCAGCUUGACUGCGAGCGUGACGGCGCGAGCAGGUGCGAAAGCAGGUCAUAGUGAUCCGGUGGUUCUGAAUGGAAGGGCCAUCGCUCAACGGAUAAAAGGUACUCCGGGGAUAACAGGCUGAUACCGCCCAAGAGUUCAUAUCGACGGCGGUGUUUGGCACCUCGAUGUCGGCUCAUCACAUCCUGGGGCUGAAGUAGGUCCCAAGGGUAUGGCUGUUCGCCAUUUAAAGUGGUACGCGAGCUGGGUUUAGAACGUCGUGAGACAGUUCGGUCCCUAUCUGCCGUGGGCGCUGGAGAACUGAGGGGGGCUGCUCCUAGUACGAGAGGACCGGAGUGGACGCAUCACUGGUGUUCGGGUUGUCAUGCCAAUGGCACUGCCCGGUAGCUAAAUGCGGAAGAGAUAAGUGCUGAAAGCAUCUAAGCACGAAACUUGCCCCGAGAUGAGUUCUCCCUGAGACUUAAAGUCUCCUGAAGGAACGUUGAAGACGACGACGUUGAUAGGCCGGGUGUGUAAGCGCAGCGAUGCGUUGAGCUAACCGGUACUAAUGAACCGUGAGGCUUAACC